rnacentral:misc_RNA from 1 species
UUGGGAUUUAGAUUUGAGUUGUUGAAGAUAAAAGAACUGUGAAAGCUAAAAAUUUAGGAGUUUGAGCAUAUCACUUCGUUGAGAAAUUUAUUGGUAGAGAAAUUCUGGUUAUAAUCUCAACAAUGUGUAUUUCUGGAGCUACAAAUUCAUGUAUUGAGGAAUUGUUUUUCUACCUACCCUGGGAGAACAGCUUACAACAAAGCCUUAAUUUCUAACUAGUUGGGUCAGCUAUAAGAAUCAUUUUUUGCCAUACAGCUUCGUUUGAGACAGUUCCAUAUCAAUAUUCAAAGAUUGUAAAUCUUUUUGCAACCUUCCUCUACAUCAUUUUAGGUAUCCCCUUUUUCUUCUUACUCUUUCCACCACUAAUUUUGGGAGAGCAGCUUAAGUGGCCAAAAUUUAGUUAAAUUGGAUGCUUUUAUGAUCAAGCCAUUGCAUUGCCAAAAUGAGGUCAAGUCUUUUUUUUAUCUUUCUUUCCAUAGGAUAUCAAAAUUAAUGAUGUCAUAGGUGUGCCCUUCCUAUAUAUCUUUGAGGAUAGAAUUUAGACAUUUUAGAAGCUGGCUUAGGCCUUAAACUCUAUGAACCUGGAAACUUGAGGGGGGAAAAAAAUUACGGUGCCAUAACAAGAGAACUCUGUCAUGCUCAAAAACACAAAAUUGUAUCUUGGUCCUGUUGUAAGUAGAAUCUCAUACUAUAGUAAGUUCAGUUUUGGUUUUUCUGAUACUUGUUAUGUGCACUUGCUAUUUUACAUAAAUCUUAAAUUGCUUCAUGCUAUCAAUUUCUUUAUAAAGAUCUGUGCUUAUCUUUCCUCUCUUGUUGUAAUCAUUCGAAAGAGUUCAUUUUUGGUGAUUGAUUGGACAAUAUAAAGCUGGUGAUAUGUUGCAUUUGCUUGUGUAAUUCAGAUCUAACCUGUUUUUAUAAAUUUCUAUGCAUGGAUACACAACUAGAACAUCUGAUAUGUUUAUGUUAUCUUUCUGCUACUAACACAAACAUGUCCUGUACAGUAGACCAAUAAUAAUUUGAUGUUUUCUAUUUAAGUUAAAAUGUUGGAUUAGCCAAAUGACUAUAGUUUACCGUCUUACUAGCUGUAUCCUAUAAUUUCUCAUUAAUUCUUAUGUGAUGUAAAAUGCAUGAGACAAAUGCUAUUUUCUUGAUGAAGAAAAGAUACAGGAAAUUACAGUUGACAAGCUAUUUUUAUUUGAUACCUUUGCAGAUACCUCCAAGGAAAAGUGCUGCUUCUUACAGGUUUUUGCUCAAUUUCUCAAAAAGGAUGCCCGAUAUAGUGAUUGAUGGGCAUAUAUUCUAAAUGAUGUCUCUGAUUUAGUGUUCAUUAUAUUCUGUGAUUGUGCAACAUACGGAGAAAAAUUUUGUCAUUCUUUAUUCUAUUCUUUUCAUUGAUGGGAGAUCCUUUUGUUUUCAGAAAAUUUUGUCAAUCAACCACUUACCUCAACUAAGAGGUUUAUGACAUUUGUAAAUUUUUAUUGAGGCUUAUAAAUUACGAGGUUUGUGACAUAAAAGAGUGUUAAUAGAAACUCAGAGCAUAGAAUUUUCCCACGCUCUUACCCCUCCCCUUCUUUUUUCUUUGAGAACAAGGUAAAUAAAGGAUAAAUGACAAUUCCCAAACUGCAGGAAGGUUUAAAUUGACCUUCCCUAUAGAUAUUCCCUUUUCCUUUUUUUGGCUGCUAUCAAAUGCGGCAUUUUUGGUACUCUUGAAUCUGUUGGUCAUAUCCAUGAGUAAAACUAGUUAUCACUCUUUAUAUCUCUUAAAGUUUAUUUCAGGGCUGAUGAAUGGAAUGUCAACAAAUGGGCAUGGGAGGGGACACUGAAAGUCAUUAGCAAAGGCGAAGAGUGCAUUAUCAGACUUGAAGACAAAACCACAGGUGAAUUGUAUGCCAGGGCAUUUUUAAGAAAUGGGGAACCACAUCCAGUGGAACCUGUAAUUGACAGCAGCAGGUCAAGUCUAUUUCUCAUCCUCAGAUGAGUUUCAUUUUUUUGUUAUUGCCUAUUGGUUGUGUUAAUACCUGAACUAGGCAUAAAGUCGGCUCAUUCGGUUUUACUGACGGCUAAAGUCUGAGAUUGUUUGUUAGCUUCUAAUAGUCAUGCCUGUAACGUGAUCUCUGGAGAGCAUCUAAAUGAACAUCCUUUCUUUUGCAGAUAUUUUGUGCUGCGAAUAGAAGAAAAUAUUGGUGAGCUACAAUGCCUCUUGAUUUGGGUUUUAUUUCAAACUGAAAAUUGUGUUUUUAUGGGAUAAUUUUGGUAUCUGUUAUCUGUAACUUUCUUAGAAUUUGUUGAUAUCAAAGAAACAGAUCAUAGUUUGCAUUCUCUACCUCACUGUGCGCCCAUUGAUGGAAACAUUUGACCCCACUAUUUGUAGUCUGGACCUUUCUUAUUGGUGUCAGAGCCAUUAUUUGUCAUUAUUGUCAUUAUCAGUUCCACCACCCAAUUCAUAUAUAUUUCUUUGCCGUUAUUGUUUUUAUAGGCCAAAACUAAUCUUUAUCUUGCUCGACUAGAUUACAAAAUGUCAUAUUUGAAUUUCUAAGAAAGCAAGUAUAAAUAAAUUUAGAUUAUUUUUUGUUCUCUGAUAUUAUUAACUUGAUGACUUAAAAUUUCUUCGGACUUAGAAUUCCAAAUAUACUAACAGAUAAUAUAUAUAUAUAUGCUAUUUGUGAACUUUGGAUUCAAAUUCAUUGUUCUUGCUCGCCUUGUUGAAAUUUGAUUAACACUCCAAAAUUCUCUCUAAUCCUGAGAAUCUACAGACAAAAGAAUCAUGUACUGUUGUGGUUAAAGAUUUGGAAACUAGCUGGCUCUAUUUGUAAUGGUGCUAACAACUUUUGCUUUGAAUCUCUAAAUCCACUAAGCCAAAUCAUGUGCUAUCUGCUUUAUGUUGCUUUAGAAAUGGUCAAUCCUAAUCUUUUGUGGAACUUUUUUUUCCCCUCUUUUUUCUCUUGGCAUCGCCCAUAUAUUGUCUUCUUGUGAUUCUCUGUUUGCCUUCUGCUCUUUUCUCUUUCCAAUGACCAAAUGUAUUUUCAAAUUAGGCAUUGAGUAGUUUGGAAAUCAUGCAGGUGGCCGCCUUCGGCAUGCAUUUAUUGGCAUAGGAUUUCGAGAAAGAACAGAAGCCUAUGACUUUCAGGCGGCCCUGCACGAUCAUGUGAAGUAUGUUCCAACAUACACUAAGUGUCCAAUAUUUACUUGUCCAUCAAGUGGUUUUACAUUCUGCAAUUUUUUUAGCACUUUGUAUAGCUGAUAUUUCUUUGUGCAUUGGCUCAUAGUUAUAAAUUUUCCAUAAAUUAUAACUAUAAUUAUAUUAUUUAUUUUUUAAGUACAUUUAUUACAGAUAUCUGAACAAAAAGAAAACUGCAGAAGAAAUGGAACAACAUUUUCAGAAAACUUCCUCAGUUGAUUACAGUUUAAAGGAAGGGGAGACCCUUGUCCUCCAAAUUAAAAAUAAAGGUGGCUGUGGUGCGAAGUCAAAGAUUUUUGAGCAGGGUCUAAAUAAUCUGU